rnacentral:rRNA from 1 species
GACGAACGCUGGCGGCGUGCUUAACACAUGCAAGUCGAACGGAAAGGCCCUUCGGGGUCCUCGAGUGGCGAACGGGUGAGUAACACGUGGGUGAUCUGCCCUGCACUUUGGGAUAAGCCUGGGAAACUGGGUCUAAUACCGGAUAGGACCACGGCAUUCAUGUGCUGUGGUGGAAAGCUUUUGCGGUGUGGGAUGGGCCCGCGGCCUAUCAGCUUGUUGGUGGGGUAAUGGCCUUCCAAGGCGACGACGGGUAGCCGUCCUGAGAGGGUGACAGGCCACACUGGGACUGAGAUACGGCCCAGACUCCUACGGGAGGCAGCAGUGGGGAAUAUUGCACAAUGGGCGCAAGCCUGAUGCAGCGACGCCGCGUGGGGGAUGACGGCCUGCGGGUUGGAAACCACUUUCGCCAGGGACGAAGCGCAAGUGACGGUACCUGGAGAAGAAGGACCGGCCAACUACGUG